rnacentral:rRNA from 1 species
UACGUAGGGGGCAAGCGUUGUCCGGAUUUAUUGGGCGUAAAGAGCGUGUAGGCGGUUUGGUAGGUCCGUUGUGAAAACUCGAGGCUCAACCUCGAGACGCCGAUGGAAACCAUCAGACUAGAGUCCGGAAGAGGAGAGUGGAAUUCCUGGUGUAGCGGUGAAAUGCGCAGAUAUCAGGAGGAACACCAAUGGCGAAGGCAGCUCGCUGGGACGGUACUGACGCUGAGGCACGAAAGCGUGGGGAGCAAACAGG